rfam:Schistosoma rodhaini strain Burundi genome assembly, scaffold: SROB_scaffold0004314
GCACUACUGAGGAGUUCAACAGUAGAACGAAACGGCCGUCCAGUGC